UACGAAGGGGGGCUAGCGUUGUUCGGAAUUACUGGGCGUAAAGCGCACGUAGGCGGGCGAUUAAGUCAGGGGUGAAAUCCCGGAGCUCAACUCCGGAACUGCCUUUGAUACUGGUCGUCUAGAGAUCGGAAGAGGUGAGUGGAAUUCCCAGUGUAGAGGUGAAAUUCGUAGAUAUUGGGAAGAACACCAGUGGCGAAGGCGGCUCACUGGACUGGUACUGACGCUGAGGCGCGAAAGCGUGGGGAGCAAACGGG
rnacentral:rRNA from 1 species